GAUGAACGCUGGCGGCGUGCCUAAUACAUGCAAGUCGAGCGAAUGGAUUGAGAGCUUGCUCUUAUGAAGUUAGCGGCGGACGGGUGAGUAACACGUGGGUAACCUGCCCAUAAGACUGGGAUAACUCCGGGAAACCGGGGCUAAUACCGGAUAAUAUUUUGAACUGCAUGGUUCAAAAUUGAAAGGCGGCUUCGGCUGUCACUUAUGGAUGGACCCGCGUCGCAUUAGCUAGUUGGUGAGAUAACGGCUCACCAAGGCAACGAUGCGUAGCCGACCUGAGAGGGUGAUCGGCCACACUGGGACUGAGACACGGCCCAGACUCCUACGGGAGGCAGCAGUAGGGAAUCUUCCGCAAUGGACGAAAGUCUGACGGAGCAACGCCGCGUGAGUGAUGAAGGCUUUCGGGUCGUAAAACUCUGUUGUUAGGGAAGAACAAGUGCUAGUUAAAUAAGCUGGCACCUUGACGGUACCUAACCAGAAAGCCACGGCUAACUACGUGCCAGCAGCCGCCGUAA
rnacentral:rRNA from 1 species